UGGGGAAUAUUGGACAAUGGGGGCAACCCUGAUCCAGCCAUGCCGCGUGUGUGAAGAAGGCCUUCGGGUUGUAAAGCACUUUAAGUGGGGAGGAAGGGGUCAACGCUAAUACCGUUGAUCAUUGACGCUACCCACAGAAUAAGCACCGGCUAACUCUGUGCCAGCAGCCGCGGUAAUACAGAGGGUGCAAGCGUUAAUCGGAAUUACUGGGCGUAAAGCGCGCGUAGGCGGCUAAUUAAGUCGGGUGUGAAAGCCCCGGGCUCAACCUGGGAAUUGCAUCCGAUACUGAUUGGCUAGAGUAUGAGAGAGGGAGGUAGAAUUCCACGUGUAGCGGUGAAAUGCGUAGAUAUGUGGAGGAAUACCGGUGGCGAAGGCGGCCUCCUGGCUUAAUACUGACGCUGAGGUGCGAAAGCGUGGGGAUCAAACAGG
rnacentral:rRNA from 1 species